AACACAUUGUUUGUUAAUGACGCAAUGUUGAGCCUGGGUUUGGUCAAGAUAUGACUCAGUAGAUCUGCAUGGAGCUUAGCAAUUCUAGAAGAAUUGAAGUUGGGGUCCUGAGCUUUGGAUUUGAGCGUCAAAGCAACUGGUCGCCAGUGAGAAGCAAUGAAGCUGAUGAAGAUGAAGCUGAUUCUGUUUCUCUCUCUCGCCUGGAUGAUCUGCAACACAGGUAACUGGGCUCACAGAUUUGUGCAGGUACAAGAAGUUCUAACUGCAUGUUUAGAGAGUGUGUGUGUGUGUGUGUGUGUGUGUGUGUGUGUGUGGCUCUCACACAGAUAAGGUCACACAGAGUCACUUAUUAUCUUACUGUCUGUUCCUCGUGGCAGCAGAAACUCUCCGGUGUUUCAAAGGUUUUGGUCCUGGUGUUCUUGGCCCGUGUCACUUUGCUGGUGAUUGGUGUGCAACUUUUACAAUUACUUCAGCUUUUGAAGGAAGUCCUGCAAAAGAUGUUGAGAGGUCGUGUCUGCCGUCUUUUCUUUGUUCUGCACCCAAUCAGUUUUUGUCCUUCAGUAACGCAAAGUUGUCUUUAGCUGAACAUCUUCACUGCUGCAAAACAGGCGGCUGCAACCACCAGGAUUUCCCAUAUCCAGAACUCGGCAAACCAAACGGCCUCAAGUGUUUGACCUGCACUGGUUUGGGUCCUGAUCAUGUGUGUAACAGCACCGUGGAGUGUGUGGGAACACAGGACCGCUGCGUAGACGUCUACGUGAAACAUGGACACGAAGUUGCUCCUUACGCUGGCUGUGUUUCUUCAAACGCGUGUGAUUUGGUUUCUCAGUUGAAAUUCCGACAGGAUUUUGCUGCUCGUUUUAAAUACACCAUUACACCACGAGUUGCAGGAAGCAGCUUCUGCAGCUCCGCUCACAUUACACCAAGCUUUACAGGAAGCAGCUUCUGCAGCUCUGCCCAGGUUUGUCAUUAUCAACCCUGAUGUUGCUGCUUUGCUGCUUGGUUUGUUCACUAUGUUCGUUUUUCAGAACCACUGUUAAACUCAAGAUCAGACUUUAUUAAUCCCACGAUGGGGAAAUUCGUUUGUUUGCAGCAGCGAUAUAACAUUGAACAAAAACAGUCAAAAACAAGAUAGAAACAAACAAUAUUAAGAUGUACAAGAAAAGACAAGGCACUCGACUAAAACUGAAAAAUACAGAAAGAGCACGUCUCAUCUUAUUAUGCUCUGCUUAUAUGAUCUUAUUUCUGUUUUGAAUCUGUAUGAUGAUGCUGUAAUCAAAUCAUGGUUUUUGCAAAUUUUUCAAAUCCUGUCAAACAUUCUUCUGCGUCUCAUAUUAAAGCUUAAACUUCUUCAAUAAAGCCUUUUCAUAUUCAGUUUCUGAUCCCA
rnacentral:lncRNA from 1 species